GGUGAUCUGACCAGCCAUAGCGAGUGCUAUCGCUAGAGGAGAAUGCUCGGCAUCCCUGGGAACCACCUAAGGACCUCAAAGGUAGGAGUUAGACUAGUUUUGAGUUGGAAAAGGGUGGUGCAAGGUCGCACAGUGUGGACCUCAUUAGAGCCAUCAUCGGAGGAGGUGAAGGAUCUCAUUAAGUGGUUCCCAGAGGUAGUUGAGUUCCCAGAGGAGGAGCU
rnacentral:lncRNA from 1 species